GUAACGACUUAUAUAAAACAAGCCCUUCCUGCAAGAGCACGCGCCGCUACGGACAAAGCAAGGUUUACUAGCAGUUUAUAGCAUUCAAAUGAAAAUGCAGAGACAGGUGCCUGCCAACUUGAGCUGGGCUCCUCCAGUUCAGACACUCUGGACUCAAGAGCCCAUAUUGUGUCUCUGAUGGCCAUGACCUGCUUGCCCGGUGCAGACAUAUACACCAUCUGCUCUCAAGACCAAGAAGGGAAGAGAAUUUCAGAGUCAAGGACCCCUCAAAGAGAACAGGCUCUUUCUCUUCUACGGUGAAGGAGAUCCAUCUUCAAUUGUGCAUUAUGGAAAAAAGAAUGGGGCAGUCCUGCAGGGACAUGGGUCCCAAACUAUUUAAGACAUCCAACAUAAAAACUAUGAAGUGUUGUUGUAGCCAUGCUGAUCCUAGGAUAUUAGCAAGACAAGGCGGGUGAUGUAAUAACUUUUAUUGGACCAAGAGAUACAAGAGAUUUUUUCAGCUGCUCUAUUCUAUAUCAGGAAUACAGCAUUAAGAACAUUGCCUCUCCACCACUAGCUGACACAAGGAAAAAUUGAAAUUAAACUUAUUUAAAUUAGUAAAAAUGGAUUGGUGAUAGUGAAUCUUAAUAUUAAGAUGCAUAUAAAUGUGUAAUUGUUUAUAGUUAUAAUGAUUUAAUAAUUAAUAAAUUCAUUUUUAAGUGGUUACAGCUAGGAAUAACAAGAUGGUGAUUUUGGAAUAAUUCAGCCUAUAGGAAACAGGCAGGUUAAGGUGAGAUAAAGGUCACUCCAAAACCUGAAGGGAGGGGCUAGUCAAGCCUGGCACAGGUUUUCAAUCGGGUCUGGGUUUGAUUGACAGAUGAAUUCACCAGCUGUGAUUGGUUCAUAAGAACAGAUCAAUCAGGGAAGCCUUUAAGAUGAUUGGUGGAUUGGUAUGCUAAUGAUAAGGAUCGAGGAAAUAACCAAUCAGAAUAGGCCAAAACCUGUAUAUAAGGUAGAGAGCUGACAGGCUUGAGUCAGUCAAGAUGAGACCAGGUGGAGAAAUAGGAGAAGAAGUUGGAAGAUCAGAAAAGAGUUGAAAUCGCUGAAGAAGGAAAGAGCUGCAGCAGCAACAGCUAAGAAGUAUCUGUGACAGAUGAAAAGGACUGCAGACAGAUCAGAGGGAAAAAAGACUGUAAAAAAGUAACAUGACAACCAUAGUACAGAGAACCAAUAGGAUUUAUGAGUGUAUCUCUCUGAGAUAAUAAAGUUGGAUGUUUGUGUAUAUAUGUUUGUUACUAUGUAUACAAUUUAAAUGUUUAAGUAAGAACUGGCAGACAGCAUUCUCCAUGUGACUGAUCACUGCAUGUAGAAUGUAACCACUUAAGAGCUGUUCCCAACUGUAUGGUAUUACAGUACUGGGUACUUUGAUAUGCAUACUUGUGCUAAUGGGAUUUGUAUUUUGUUUCUUGAUAAUAUGCUUUUAAGGUUUAUUGUAUCAAGGAAUAUUGGUAUAUUGAACAAAGAUUAUUUUGUUUUUGAAGAAUUACUGCCUGAUUGUUAAUUCUUCAAUCAGAAAGCUGUAUCCAGGUCUUCCCCAAGGGUCAACAGAAUUAGUCUAUCCUGGGGAAGUUUUCCAAAAGUCAGAGGGAAGAAAACCUUAGUAAAACUUCAAGGGCAGUCCACCCCCUUUCACCUAUCAAAACAGACAGAAAGGGGGAUAGUUAUUCAGGGGGACCAGAGUGAGCUACAGAUAAUCACUGGUGGUGUCUGAAUAAAUUAGGUCUGCCAAGGUUACCAUCAAGGGAGGGUAAGAUUUUAGGAAAGACAGACAUAGGUGUAUA